CGUGUCAAAAAGCUCAGGUUGCACGCUGGGACGGGGGUGGAGGAGAGAGGGUUUGCUCCUCAGCUGGGGCCGGGAGAGGCCCAGCUUCUGCUUCUGGCCCCACCCUGAGCAGCUGGCAAACGCUGGCCGAUUGCUUCACCUCUCAGCGUCUCGGAUGCCAGUCCCCAGAGGAGGGGCAGCCACAGGAGCUCCUUCUGUGGAAUUCCCAUCAGCAGAGGCAUGGGAAGACGCUGCUACCACGCUGUCCUUCAGUCAUUCAACAAACAUUUGCUGGGCACCUACUAUGUGCCAGACUGUUCCAGGCAGCAUGGAGACAGCAGGGACCAAGACGAGGCCACAUCCGUGCCCCAGGGAGCUGACACUCCAGAAGAUCUACUCUCAAGCAAGGUCUUCCUAUCUGGAGGCAGGACGACCACCAGCAGCUCCAGGUUUCAUUCUGCUGGCUUCGCCACCUCGAAGAAAGAGAGCCUGGCCCAAUUUCCAGGUAAAGCUCUCACCACUGGCCCCGCCAAGGUCAUGACCCAUGCUGAUGGGCCAGGCUCGCCCCUUGCUCAUCCUUGACUGGAGAGGAGAGGAUGUUCACGUCCACGUGCAGCACCUGGACUGAGAGCCGGAGACGGACUGUUCCCCCAGAGAACAGACGAGCUGUGACCAGUGAAAAGAGAAUGGAUGCUGCACACACCACAGCUGGAGCUGUCGCCCGGCAGAGACCAGGCCCGUGUGUACCAGGCCCAGGGAGGCCAGGAGACGGCUGGAGCCACACAGCUGGUCCGCGACGUUCCUUCCCAACCUGGAACUUUCGCCACCUCCCCACCUUGUUUAUUUGACAUAACGGCUGAACAGUGGCUCCCAGAGAUGUCCACGCUCUGACCCCGCCACCUGCGAACGUGACGUGGGAAAGGGGCUUUGCGGGUGUGACUCAGUCAAGGAUCUCGAGACGGAGAUCGUCCUGGAUUACCUGGGCCGGCCCAGUGUCAUCACAAGGGUCCCUGUAAGAGGGAGGCGGGAGGUCAGAGAGGAGAGAAGAGGCUGCGUGGAGGGUCUCAGAUGAGAAGGGGCUGUGGCGCCAGGAACGCCGCUCCCCCAGGAGCCGAAAGAGGCCGGACGCGCCCUGCCCGGAGCCGCAGGAGGAACCCGCCCUGCCCGCGCCUCCACUUAGACCCAUCUGGACUUCUGCCCUCCAGAGCACGUCUCCCUGUAAAGCACUGAGUGUGGCCCUUUGUCACAUUCACACAAGGCCACCCACCGCCCUGGGGCAGGAGGCAACACCCCGGGGUCCAGGAGCCUCCAGAGAGCACAGAGAGGGCACAUUUCUGUGCUGCCUCCGUUCCAGAUCGAUUACGGUGCAGAAAGGAAAUCCUCCCUGACGCUUACCCGGAGCAGAAGCCAGCGGGGAGCCCCCGGGCUGCGCACGCUGCUCUCAACUGCGCCCCACAGACCCGGCCGCCCCAGGACCACAGCACUGCAGCCUCCAUGGGGUCCCCCGGUCUCCCACCGCGGGCACGUGACUGACUGACCGACAGCCCGGCUGCUGAGCUCUGAACUCGCCCCGCGUCCCCCGGGUGCUCCCCACCAACAACUGAGUGCGCAAGGGACAUGAAGGCAGCCCCAGGUGUGGGGCACCCCCAGGGGCCUGGCUCCAGGACUCCCCCUCGGCCUGGACAAAAACCGCCUCAGGCCUGUGCUGAGGCCUCCACGCCUCCCGCUCCCGGGGCUCCCACACAGGUGCCAGACCCACAUCGAAGGCCCUCCCGCCACCCCCCGAGAGCUGUUCCCUGAAUCAACCUCCCACACGUCUGAUCCCCCUUGGCCUGGUCUCCUUAGAGGACCCCACCUGGCCCACAGCGCCAUGGGAAUUAGGUGAACGAGCCCUCUGGGUGGCUGCGUUACGAUCGGAUGCCUCUCCCAGGAUGAGCAGCCGAGCGAGCGAGCCAAGCACAGCCUGACCUCAGCCCGGAUCGCCUGCGCAGUGGCCGCCUUUGUGCAGUGCACAACAUAUACACCGUGCAUGGCAGGCUGACGCAGACCCCUGGGCUGUAAGGGGCUUUUGGACGGAGCACUAACGAAGGCAGGCCGGGAAGAUCCCACCUCGCUACUCAGGGACCGAGAGAAGCCAAGUGCCCACCACACAGGGCGCUAUGCUCCUCCCCACUCACCUCUGGGCUGUGCCCACCACGGGCACUGUGUUACCCAAGUACGGACGUUGUUCUCAGCAAGGACCACUUGGUUUGGCCCACACUGUGUUUUCCAGAACUCUGAAUUACGAGGUUGUAUCCCUCACAAACGUGGAUUUUAGCUUCUCUUGGAAACUCAGGUGGGCCUGGUCACGCAGGGGCCUCCCCACACGGCUACGAUCCAGUGCCUUCCUAGUGACCACUCCCUCUGGCCAGACCCUGAGUGUCCCAGCGCGCCACAGUCCCCACCCAGCCCCUUCUGCUCCCCUCGCCUGCCAGGGUCCUGGGGCCCCCACCAACUCGCUGUGUGACCUUGGCCCAGUCGCUGCCCCUCUCUGAGGCCUGCUCUCCUGUCCUUGAAACCAAGGAGGAGGGACAGGCCCCUCUCAUCUGCAGGGGCCGUCCAGGCUCCGAUGCUCUGACAGCGCUGGGGAGGAGGAGAGGGAGAUAAAGAGAAAAUCGUUCCCGUAGUUGCCUCCUUGUUGGGAAGCCGGACUUGGGGCAGCUUCUCAGUCUCCAGCUGGCCUGCGCCCUCCCCAGUGGGACUGAGCCCGAGGGGGUGGGUGGGGGGGACCGAGGAGGAGCCCGGGGAAAGGGCAGGGUCCUGGAAGCCUCCGGCUCAGGCCGUGCACAUCUGGCCGCAGGGAACAGAAGCCCCCGAACCGCGGCUUCAACGAGAGGGAUUUCUGUGUCUCCCGUGGGUCACGAUGGCGGCAGAGGCCACGCGGGACGGGCCGUGCGCAGGUGCCCGGGCUGUCGUGAGCGCGUGCGGAGAUUAACGCACGGUAACCCCACGUCCGGGCCUGAAUCUCCCAAGUUCCUGUCUGCCCGGGACCUGUGGCGGCCUUUAUUUGAAGAGGGCGUUUGCGGUGUGGUCAGGUUAAGACGAGGUCACCCUGAUGAGGGUGGGCCUUAGCCAACGACCAGUGUCCUUAUAACAAGGACAGAGACAUGCAGGGAAGGUCACGUGACGACAGAGGCAGAGAAGGAGCAGCGCGUCUACAAGGCAAGCGACGUCAAGGAUGCCAGCACCCGCCAGAAGCUCCGAGAGGGCACGGAACAGAUACUCCCUCAGCGACCCCAGAGGGCCCACCGCUGCCGACACCUUGAUGUCAGCCUUCCAGCCUCCAGAGCUCUGGGAGAGUCGUGUCAGCUGUUUGAAGCCACUUAGUCGGUGGUCCUGUGUUGUGGCCGCCCAGAAAACUAACACGCUCCAAGAGGCAGGCUCUGUCAUCAUCCCCAUUCUACAGAUGGGAAACUGAGGCACAGAGAAGGUAAGUAACUGGUGCAAAGUUGCACAGCGGUAAGCGGUGCAGCCAGAAUUUAAACCCAGCCCAUUGGGCUCCACCUCAAAGACUUCCUGCCGGAGAGAGAGGCACAGCUGCACGUGAGCAUGUCUGUGUGUGCAGACGCGGCCAGGCACGUCCGCGGGGUCACCUGUGGGGCACAGCGGGGCGUGCAGAAGACAGGGCGCCGAUACAUGGGAUUGGACCCAUGUGCACAGAAAGUGCCCACGAAGGGAUGACAAACAGGCUGCGGGAACCAAGCCUCGGCCCCGAGGUCACGGUACCCAGCCCGGCGGGGAGGGGAGCCCCAGCCCGAUGGAGGGGGCGCCAGCGACUGGGUCAGACGAGACGUGGCGGGCAGAGCCGUCACGAUGGAUAAUCCCCAACCGACUGAGUGUGGAGGGAGGGAGCCCCAGUGCAGGAGGCACGUCCGGGGACGGUGUCCCGACAAGGAACAGAGGGGACUCCUGGGAGAGCCGGGCGCCCCCCGAAGCCUCCGGAGCCUUGUUUCCUCCUCUGUGAAGGGGGCUCAUGUGCUGCUCUGUCCCCAUCUCACGGGGUGACGUGGCCGAUGCUCCCCACUCGUGCGUGUUGUUUCACCGUCUUUAGGGGUUCAGGGGCAUUAAGGACGUUCACGUCGUCGUGCAACCAUCACCCCUCGGGCUCCAGAGCUCUUUCUGUCUGUAAAACUGAAACUCUGCCCCAUUGAACACGAGCUCUCACCCCGCCCCAGCCCAGCCCCUGCAUCCCGCUCUCUGUCUCUCCAGGGAAUCACGCGCUGUCUGUCCUUCCGUGACUGGCUCUUCCUCUCGGCGUGACGUCCCAAAGGCCCACCCGUGGUGGAGCGGGUCAGGAUCUCCUUCCUCUUGGAGGCGGACGCCGGCUCUGUUGCACGGAUGGACCCCGUUUUCCUCACCCACCCACCGGCUGCUGGGCCCUUGGGUGGCUUCCCCUUUGACUGUUGUGAGCGAUGGUGUGCACACAGGUGUGCAAAUGCCAGACACGUGUUUCUGAUUUUUAAACAUCGCGUCAUCGCCAGCGUCCGCGCUGGACCCCUCGGUCUGCUCCUGACACAUGUUCUCCAUGGGGCUCUGUGCACCGGGGGCUGGCAUCGCCCAGGCUCCCGGGUUUGUGCCCCCGCUCUCCCCCGACCCCGUCCGUUCGGCAGCGGCCCCCAGCUCUGCCGCAGGCACCGCGCCUGGUGCUGCUGUUCCGUCCUCGGCCCUGCAGACCCGGGAGGGGAAACGGGUCCUGCUGCUGCCCCUCACCCUUCACCCCGCGCCCCCUGUGAAGAGACCCUUCACCAAACCCUUUUCACGGGGACCCCCUGGGGGAAACACUGUCUCCCACGGGGCCCUGAAGGACACGCCCUCUUCAUUUUGUAGAUGAGGAAGCUGAGGCACAGAAAGAUGAGUAAACUCCCCAGAGUGGUACCUAGUGAGUCGACUUAGACCCAGGCUGUCUGACUCUCGGGUCUGCACUCCACAUCAGGGGUCAGCAAACUGCCGCCCGGGCAGCGUCCAGCCCCCCGCCUGUCUUUGUCGAUAAAGUUUUAUUGGCUCGCAGCCAGGCCCAUUCGUCACCUUUGGCCAGUGUCUGCUUCCACAUGACAACGGUCAAGUUGAGUCGUUGCGACAGAGACAGGAUGGCCCACAAAUCCAAAAAUAUUCCCUAUCUGGCCCCUGACCAAAACCAGUCCGUCAGCCUCUGCCCAGAUCGCUAAACGAUGCCGCCUCGGGGGUCUGGAGCCCCGCGAGCCUUGCUCAGGGGCCGGGACUCACCACCCUUCUUCCCACUCUGACAAAGUGACAAGCUACACUUUCAGGCGGGGCUGCAAAGCCCGAGGCCUCCCUGGACCCUGCAGGUGACCUGAAACUGUCAACCCAGCUGAGCGUGGGGAGCACAGCAGCUCAUGCCCGACGAGUCGGUCAGCAAAGGUUCCUGAGCACGCGCUCCGUGUCGAGCAGAGUUCCAGGCUAAGGGACACAGGAGUGAAGAGGACAGACCUGCCACCGCCCUCCUGGAGCGGACAGUCCGUGGGGAAUGGUGACUGACCACGGAUGCUCAGCCCCGGGGACAGGGAGACGGCAGGGCACGGUGGGGAGUGGAGACCUGGAGAGCUCAGAUGCUGUCGAAUGACUCCCCGACCACAGACUGCUCUCACCGCUGAGACUGCGGGCUGCAAGAGGGACGACGGAGGGGGUGCUGGGGUGGGAAGCAAAUGCUCUCCCAGAAACCCCCAGCAGGCUGCUGCGCACACCUUGUAGGCCAGAAGUGUGUCACGGCCACCCUCGCUGCAAGGGGGAAUGGGUUAUGCAAACAGAUAACAGGAGAACUACAUUCCGCAUGACCUUCCUGCUCCCCAUGCAUCCCUGUGCGUCCUCAUGCAUCCACCUGAGCAUCCCCACGCACCCUCCUGCAUCCACCUGAGCAUCCCCACGCACCCUCCUGCAUCCUCCUGAGCAUCCCCACGCACCCUCCUGCAUCCUCCUGAGCAUCCCCACGCACCCUCCUGCAUCCUCCUGAGCAUCCCCGUGCACCCUCCUGCAUCCUCCUGAGCAUCCCCAUGCACCCUCCUGCAUCCUCCUGAGCAUCCCCAUGACCCUCAUGCACCCUCCUGAGCAUCCCCAUGCACCCUCCUGCAUCCACCUGAGCAUCCCCACGCACCCUCCUGCAUCCUCCUGAGCAUCCCCACGCACCCUCCUGCAUCCUCCUGAGCAUCCCCAUGCACCCUCCUUUACACCCUCCUGUGCAGCCUCAUGCAUCCUCCUGAGCAUCCGCAUGCACCCUCCUGUGCGCCCCAGCACACCCUACUUUGGAGACCUCUGUCCUCAGGGCUCCCAAAGCUUGAGGCUUUUGAAAAACAAAAGCCAGGAAGCGACUUGCAGGCUAUCCCUGCCCCAUCCCUCGCCUGAGGCAAAGAAAUAUCUACUUGCUCAAGUGAGGGUCGGGUGGGGUGGGGAGGGGAGGAGACCCCAACAGACUGAGGACUCUCUCAGUCGAUGCCGGGGGAGCAGCGUGCACUCACUCAAAACCAGGUUUAUGAUGAAGCAGGAGGACUCAUGUUACAACGCUAAAUGGCGAAGUCAAAUAAUACGUGUGGUGUGAUAAUAACCAGGCUGCAAAGAAAACCAGCAGCUACGUACAGACGGACGUCUAGAGGGAAAGUCCCCAGAUGUCAACACAGUUGUCUUUGGGCAGUGGCAUUCUCAGUAAAUUUUUCACAUUUUC